rnacentral:rRNA from 1 species
UACGAAGGGGGCUAGCGUUGUUCGGAAUUACUGGGCGUAAAGCGCACGUAGGCGGAUUGUUAAGUUAGGGGUGAAAUCCCAGGGCUCAACCCUGGAACUGCCUUUAAUACUGGCAAUCUCGAGUCCGAGAGAGGUGAGUGGAAUUCCGAGUGUAGAGGUGAAAUUCGUAGAUAUUCGGAGGAACACCAGUGGCGAAGGCGGACUCACUGGCUCGGUACUGACGCUGAGGUGCGAAAGCGUGGGGAGCAAACAGG